AGGGUGCCCGGGAGCUUGAGCGUCUGAACCUAUGGUAUAAAACAAGAUAACACAAAAGAAAAGUAUGCGUCAGUACGUGUGAAUGUACUGGUACGCAAAGUGGGGUAAGGCUGAAUACAAGGGUUCAUGUGCAUAAGCAAGAAUAACUGAAUAACAUGAGAAUGACUGAAUAAAAGUACAUGCAUGAAUACAUGCACUCUAACUGAAAUCGUGAUAAUACUAAAUACUAAGUUUGAAUACCGAUUAAAUGAUGUAACUGAUAACUGAUAUACUAUUUACCGAGUGACUGUGCCUGACAGUCCUAAUUCUGAUGGAAUUAGCUGAGUACCGUACUGCUGAGUGACUGUAUCUGAAAAUCCUGAAAUCUGUAGAACUAUCUGAGUUCUUUACUGAAGGCUGAGACUGAUACUGUGGGAGGUAAUCAUCUAACCGACAUGCUCUUUUUUCUGAAUAGAUUUGGGGUCCAACCUGUUACCCCAGUUAGAAGGGUGUCAGUACCGUGCCACGGGUAAAGACAAGCUGUGAGUUAACCCUUUCUGAUAGGGAGCACAUCCGUCAACCCCUCACUAGUAGGAGAACUCAAAUGAAAUGUAUUAACCCUAGAAUCGUAGGGAUAUAUCUCAACCUAUGCUGGCUAAGUAGUUAUAGAACGGAAGGAUUGCUUCUAAAGAUCACACCCUCUGUUGGCAAGUGAACCCCCAUCCUUGGGUUCACUCUAUGCUGAAUCCUAAUCCUAACUGAAUAGACACUGGACUAAUUUUCUAGUUCAUACUAGGCCUGACUGAACUGCUACUGAUUGUAUUGAUUAACUGAACUGAACUGAGUUUACUGAGUUUUUCUUAGUUUUGUAACUGAACUAGAGUACUACUGAUCCUGACAUGACUGAGAGUGUUCUGUAACUGACACUGACUUUAGGCACACAACUAAAUUUUCGAGUAUUAAAUACCCCAGGACUCGAUAGAAUAAUAAAAUAUGAUAAUUCUUGAACACUUGACAAUAGUCAACAACUCAAAAUACAUUCUAUGAGGCAUUUCAUCAAUCACUUGAAAGUCAUGAGCUUGCACAUGAAUAGGAAGGCAUGCUAACAUAUCAUAAUUUCAUUAAACCAAUCUCAUGAACAUUCCAUCAAACACAUACAAGGUGUAGAUUUAGCAUGGAAGCCAUUGUGAACACCUGGGUAUAGCAUAAGUUCAUCAUUUAGACCACCAAAGGAUCAUAAAAGCACCAUAAUGUCAAUUUAGCAUUUUAUCAAACACAUGGUAGGCAUAGCUUUAUAUUUGGGCAUGAACAACAAUGCUAUUAUAUCAUGACUUCAUAAUUAAAGGGUUUCAAUAUAAGAGAAUCAAAAUUCAACUUACACGCUAUCAUAAUAUCAAGAAAUACAUAAAGAUUUUAACUUGGAACACAUACCAUAACAUCAACAUGAUUACAUUCAAACCCACAACAUGGAAAUCACAAUUCAUGUUUUUAAAAGAAGUUUCUUGAACUCCAAGGGUGGAACGGACCCUUGGAUGAACACUUUACAUACCUUGGAACUUGAGGAUCAACCUAUGAGUACCCACUAUUUCAAACUGGAUUUGUUACGUGAGAAGGAAAAAACUAGAAGGUCAAGGCUAUGGAAACUCAGGGGAUUAUAGUGCAUCUCCCCGUUGGACACUAUGUCCCAUUGAGAAUGCUGACUUUGCUGAGAUAUUAAGGAAAACUAGGGCGAUGCACAAGGCACCUACGAACUGAAUCGUGACUAAAUAUCUGGGAUCUAAAACUGAGACAUGAUACAUGAACUGAGUUGAACAUGCAAUUACCUGGUUGGUCCAUCUUAGAAUGGUUACAUUCAUGAGAAUUUGGAUAGCAUGAAUAAAUGUAAAGACGGGAAACCAUACGAACUUGUCCGUCUGACUGCUAAACUGAAUCACUGGUUCUGCGGACUAACUUAUGCUGAAAACUUAUACUCGACUGGAGCCUUUUUCUGACACUCUUUCUAUUGAGUUCUAGUCGCUUUAGGGUGGUUAAGGAACACUUGGCAUGGUCUGAAUAAGUUCUGUAAUGUGAGUCAUGGCAUAUGAAACAUAGUCUAAGAUAAAGUAGCUAAGCCUUAUGCACUGCAACUUAAAUUCUCAAGCUUAGAGAUAUCCCUUUAAAAUCCAUUCAACUAUACUCUCCACCUUAGUACAACCCUUCACCUGAGACUACUGAAAGUAUUUGCAUGGGUGCUGAGCAUGAAUGCAUAAGCAUACUAACUUAUCGGAUUAACUGAAUAAUGGAUAUCUGAAUACUGGGUCUGCAAGACUGAACUGUACUUAGCCUGAAUAACUGAACUGAAACCAUAUAGUGUUAUGUAUACAAGGUAAGGACUGAUUGGAUAACAUGAAACAACUGAGCACGAAUUUGUGUAUACGCUAUCUUUAUUUGCUUUGAUGCACACUCAUGAGCAAACAAGGGAACCCCAAUCACACAAGCAAUGGGCAAAGUUACCCAUACCAGUACAUUAGUUAAAAAUUCAACCUUGAAAUCAAGAUGAGGAGUCCACUUUUCAAUUCACCAAUUUAUUGUUGAUAAUGUAUGGUCUAGUAAACAAAAUUUCUUCCAUAUCCGCUUCUGAUUGAAAUUUAAUUUAACUAGGUUGUAACCUUCAUCAUGGUAGUAAAGAUCUGGAGUAGCUACAGAGGUCCAUGUUUCAGCAACAACUUUCUUCAUAUAAUUGUGACCCGGCACAUCUCCAAUCACUUACAAUAUCAGAGAAUGCUUCCGUUUAAGCUCGUCUUCUUUUGUUCCUAUUUAUCUAUCUUCACCACUGAAGCCCCUAGUGUGAUGUAAUUCAAAGCAAUCCAAUUACUAGCCACUCAAUUACCAGCAAAAAGACUAAAUCAAGGGUUCGUUCUAGUCUCUGCAUCACCUUUGUUUCCUAGAUCUUCAGAUUUGUCGUGUAAAACUUGACCACCUUCUGUGUCCACUAAUGGAAAAGUAGUGGUGGAUACGUGAUUCAUUGGCAUUGUUACCUCAGGCGGAGAAAUUGGAGGUCUCGGCAUAACUUGGUUCACUCCUGAGCUCCGAUUAAUACUCUUAGACACAGAAUUGGACGUACUACAUGCUCCGAAAUCAUCUUCCAAUGUGUUUUGAACUCCCCGAUCUCCCGAGUUGCGUAAUUAACUCCUUCCUAGGUCUUUUCGUCGUCGCUGCCCUACCUGACGCACGAUAGCAGAACCUACGCCGAGAGCAUUUUAGAUAGGUGAGAGAAAAUCAAUUUCAUUUAUUUUUAACUAUUUUUUGUUAGAAGUGCUUUUAAAAAAAAAAAGUUAUUUCAGAGACAAAAAAUUUGUAUUUGACUAAUUAAUUUCAAAAAAUAUUUUGGGCAAUGUUAGGGAAGAAUUUAUAUUUGUUCAAGGUUCCAAAAGUGCUUUCAAAGAAAAUUAAUUACUCCCUUCAUUUUUAAAAAAAUAAUCUAAUUUGAAUUGAUACGAACUUAAAAAAAAAAAAAAAACUUUUAAAUUUUAUGAUCUUAAAUUAAAGAUAUGUCAAAUAUAUCAAAAUAUUUUCAAUCUUGUAAUCUUAAACAUGCCAUAUGAAAAGUUAAAAUUUAAAAAUUAAUAAAAAAAAUCAUUCUUUUUUAAACGGA
rnacentral:lncRNA from 1 species